GGUUGGAUGGCCGAGCGGUCUAAGGCGCCAGACUAAGGAUCAGCUUCCUUUGAAGCAACAUUGUCUCUCAAGAGGCAUCUGGUCCGAAAGGGCGUGGGUUCGAAUCCCACUCCAAUCA